GACGAACGCUGGCGGCGUGCUUAACACAUGCAAGUCGAACGGUAACAUGGCAGCAAUGCUGAUGACGAGUGGCGCACGGGUGCGUAACGCGUAUGCAAUCUACCCUUUACUGGGGAAUAGCCCGGAGAAAUUCGGAUUAACACCGCAUAAUAUGUUGAGUAGGCAUCUAUUUAACAUUAAAUCUACGGAGGUAAAGGAUGAGCAUGCGUCUGAUUAGAGUUGGUGAGGUAACGGCUCACCAAGACGAUGAUCAGUCGGGGUUCUGAGAGGAAGGUCCCCCACACUGGUACUGAGAUACGGACCAGACUCCUACGGGAGGCAGCAGUA
rnacentral:rRNA from 1 species